GGACGAUGACAUUAGCUGCAGAAUAAGCACCGGCUAACUCUGUGCCAGCAGCCGCGGUAAUACAGAGGGUGCAAGCGUUAAUCGGAAUUACUGGGCGUAAAGCGAGCGUAGGUGGCUUGAUAAGUCAGAUGUGAAAUCCCCGGGCUUAACCUGGGAACUGCAUCUGAUACUGUUAGGCUAGAAUAGGUGAGAGGAAGGUAGAAUUCCAGGUGUAGCGGUGAAAUGCGUAGAGAUCUGGAGGAAUACCGAUGGCGAAGGCAGCCUUCUGGCAUCAUAUUGACACUGAGGUUCGAAAGCGUGGGUAGCAAACAGGAUUAGAUACCCUGGUAGUCCACGCCGUAAACGAUGUCUACUAGUCGUUGGGUCCCUUGAGGACUUAGUGACGCAGCUAACGCAAUAAGUAGACCGCCUGGGGAGUACGGCCGCAAGGUUAAAACUCAAAUGAAUUGACGGGGGCCCGCACAAGCGGUGGAGCAUGUGGUUUAAUUCGAUGCAACGCGAAGAACCUUACCUGGUCUUGACAUAUCUAGAAUCCUGCAGAGAUGCGGGAGUGCCUUCGGGAAUUAGAAUACAGGUGCUGCAUGGCUGUCGUCAGCUCGUGUCGUGAGAUGUUGGGUUAAGUCCCGCAACGAGCGCAACCCUUGUCCUUAGUUACCAGCGGGUUAAGCCGGGAACUCUAAGGAUACUGCCAGUGACAAACUGGAGGAAGGCGGGGACGACGUCAAGUCAUCAUGGCCCUUACGACCAGGGCUACACACGUGCUACAAUGGUAGGUACAGAGGGCAGCUACACAGCGAUGUGAUGCGAAUCUCAAAAAGCCUAUCGUA
rnacentral:rRNA from 1 species